rfam:Haemonchus contortus, ISE/inbred ISE, WGS project CAVP01000000 data, contig: Hcontortus_contig_pathogens_Hcontortus_scaffold_1430
GGCCUCGUGGCCUAAUGGAUAAGGCGUCGGGCUUCGGGUCCGAAGGUGGCAGGUUCGAGUUUUGCCAGGGUCG